UGGUAGCUCAGUUGGUAGAGCGCCGGACUGAAAAUCCGUAUGUCGGCGGUUCGAUUCCACCCC
rnacentral:tRNA from 2 species